UACGGAGGGGGCUAGCGUUGUUCGGAAUUACUGGGCGUAAAGCGCGCGUAGGCGGAUCUGCAAGUCGGGGGUGAAAUCCCGAGGCUCAACCUCGGAACUGCCUUCGAUACUGCGGGUCUCGAGUCCGGGAGAGGUGAGUGGAAUUCCUAGUGUAGAGGUGAAAUUCGUAGAUAUUAGGAAGAACACCAGUGGCGAAGGCGGCUCACUGGCCCGGUACUGACGCUGAGGCGCGAAAGCGUGGGUAGCAAACGGG
rnacentral:rRNA from 1 species